rnacentral:lncRNA from 1 species
AGGGAUUCUCAGGAGCCAUAGCAGAUUGCUUCUCUCAACAGUGUAAUUACUUGUGUCUCCAACUAAAGUGUGAGGUCAGAGACUGUCACUUUGUAUGCCCAGCACCCUAAAAAGUGCGGGAGACAUAGUGGUUGCUCAGUAAGCAUUUGCUGGAUGAAUGGAUUGACUCCAAUCCAUUCAUUUAUUCUCAGCAGUUAGUCAUCUGUUCAUUAGUUCCAGACCCAUGGUGGAAAUAACAGACAAACCAGACCUUAUUGAUCAACCCUGUGAUGAGAAAGACAGACCAUCUGACAGAGUGUUCACUGUUGUGAUAUCUGAGAGAACAGAGGCAUAUUCCCUGUGUAUCCUAAAUCCUUCUUACUGCACACUAAACCAGUUGUCUUACUCAGAAAGAGCAGGAAGUAAAUGGCUUCACCAGGCCCCUGCCCUCAGCACAGAUGGAGUUUUGAUUUCUCUUGGCAUGGGAUGUGGAGACUUCUUGAAAGCCAGGUAGCAGUAAGCACUCUGAAGAUCAAGUAGAACAGCCUGGAAGAGGGACAGACGGGAAGAAGCUACUUCAGGUCAGGGGAGACAUCUCCACAAAGGUGAUAUUUUGAGCAGAGGCCUGAAUCAGUAAAGCAGGAACCUGGUAAGUUUAAUGUGGAAGAGACUUUAGGCAGAAGGAAGUACAAAGACCCCAGUGGGAACACUCCUGACACUUCUGAGGACUGGCAAGGCAGAUGGCAUGAAAGUGGGAGGAGACAGGGUCAGAGCAGACACGAAAACGGGGUGACUGACACCCUUAAAGGGUCAAAGGUCAUGGAAAAACUUUGGAACUUGGUCAGAGCUUUCUAGGAGGAGCCAAUCUGAGACCCAUUCAAAACAACAGGUGCUGAGUGUCUGCCUUGGGCCAGGCCCAGUGCUGGGCAUGUGGGACCCAGGCUACAGAGGUGUCCUCUUGCCUCAGGGAAUUAUCAGAAGCAGAUUUAAAAAAAUCAAUGGCAGUACAAUGGAUGAGAGCCAUCUGGGGAUCAGCCAGGGAGCAACAGGUGCAGGUGCCCAGAUGGAGGUGCAUUAAGUGUCCCUGGGGAGCCCAUACUGCACUUCACUGGGCUGAAAUGCCAAAGGUGAGUUGGUACUUGUCACAUGGGCAGUGGAAUAGUAGACAGUUGUGUGCAGGCCCCAUGCUCUGAUGAAGGAUAGGAAUUGUUGGAAAGGUCAGACCUAGGCCUGGAGAGUCUUGUGUCAUGAACAUCCAGAGCGGGCAGGGUCACCUGGUGAUGGGAGAAUUUACUGCUAUGCUCAAUCUUGGGGUACUCCUCCUUUUAUGGGUAAGAGGGUUGUUUCAUUUGGUGGCCUGGAAUGUUCGAUAAGCUCCUGGGUCUGGUUUUUCCAGUAUGAGUUUGAUAUACCCAUGCAUCCAUGUGCUUCUGAUUAAUUUGAUAAGUUCACAGGAAGUCAUUUUUGUAAGCAUGAUUAAUGAAGCCACUAUCACAAUCAAGGCACUGAACACAUUCAUACAGGCCACUGAUUACAUAUUUUACAGAUUUAUUUAUUCAUGGCAUUGAACCCAAGGUCACUCCACCACUGAGCUAUACUCUAGCCCUUUUAUUUUUUGUGUGUGUUUUUACAGAUUUAUUGAGGUAUAAUUGACAUACAAGAAAUACUGUCUAAGCCAGGUGUGAUG